ACGUAGGGGGCAAGCGUUGUCCGGAUUUAUUGGGCGUAAAGAGCGUGUAGGCGGCUGGGUAGGUCCGUUGUGAAAACUCGAGGCUCAACCUCGAGACGCCGAUGGAAACCCCCCAGCUAGAGUCCGGAAGAGGAGAGUGGAAUUCCUGGUGUAGCGGUGAAAUGCGUAGAUAUCAGGAGGAACACCGGUGGCGAAGGCGGCUCUCUGGACGGUGACUGACGCUGAGACGCGAAAGCGUGGGGGGCAAACAGGA
rnacentral:rRNA from 1 species